UAUACUUGAUCUUUUUCUAUUCUUUUCAUUUUACUUCCAUUUUUUCCCUUAAUACAUUUUUUUCCUCUACUACACACUCAAGGGAUGGAUGGAGAGCUAUUUUAAAUCCCCUAUAUACUCUUCUUUUUCUUCUAUUCUUUUCAUUUUACUUCCAUUUUUUCCUUAGUAUAUUUUUUCCUCUAAUACACACUCAAGGGAUGGAUGGAGAGCUAUUUUAAACCCCUUAUAUACCCUUCUUACUCUCGUACCCUUUGAAUUUUACUUCCAUUUUUCCCUUUCUAUAUUUUUUUCCUCUAUUACGCACUCAAGAGAUGGAGGGUAAGUUAUUUUAAAUCCCUUAUAUACUCGACCUUCUUUUAUCCUUUUCAUUUUUUCUUCUUCUGUCUGCCUCCUCCCUUUUCCCUUUAAUUGCAUAGUGUAGUGAUAAUAAUAAAAAUAAUUAUAAAGUCUUCCUAAGCUAAAGUCUGCUAAAGGGGAGGAGAAGGUAUAGGGAGGAGAGAAAGGUAGGGGAGGAAAGGAAUAUGGGAGAAGGAAAGGGAAUGAGGAAGGGGAGGAGAAAGAGGAAGACGGUGGGGAAUCAUGCUAAAAGGUAGGGGAGGAAAAGAAUAUGGGAGAAGAAAAGGGAAUGAGGAAGGGGAGGAGAUAGGGGAAGAUAAAAAGUUGGAAAGUUUCAUUUAGUUGGCGCAACAUCUGUGGUCAUAUGCCGGAGAGACAGAAGGGGAAGGAAAGAGGAAGAUAAAAGCUAACAGUAACAGUAAUAGUAGUGAUAACAAUACUUCUUUUUGCAUUUUUUUACACUUUAUUUAGAAAUCAGGAGUAACAUCUCCACUAGGUACUAUGUCAAUCUGUGUUCUGUUCAAGGGCCAGGAGAGCAGGUUCAUAAUGCUCUUAAGGUCACCAUCGUUCAUCAUUCUGCUGGGUUGGCACUCACCAUAUCACCCCAAUUUAGCUAUUUAUCUUAUUUUGUAUAGUCUCGUGAAGUUUUGCGUUAAGGGUAGGAAAGGAGGAUGAGAGAGGAAGAAUGGGGAGGAGGAUAUGAGAGAAAAGAGAAAGGCAGGGAAAGGAAGGAAAGGAAAAGAGAAGUAGAGGAAACAGGAAUAAGACGAGGAAUAAGAGAAAAGCACUGUAUCAUUCCGCCUUACUAAGUUAACAGGCUGGGAAAGUUUUGGUUGACGAUGAUUUUAACCUUCACUUUCAACUUAUUCUAGGAGGUAUAAAUCAUUUCACUAUUAGUUUAAGUCAUGCCGGUCAGUAUAUCACUCCAGCACUUAUUUAUUCCUCUUUUAUUUUCUAUAUUUUCAGGUUUAAAAUUUCAGGUCGUUGAUCAUUUUUCACGUUAAUUUCCGACUCAUUCUAGCGAGUAAACAUCACUUCGCUAGUUCAGGUCAUGUCAUUCUGCACUUCACUUCAACACUCACUUUUCUUUUUUUUUGUAUAUUUUCUGGGUGAUAAUAUUUCACCUCAAUUUUCAACUUAUUCUAGCUAGCAUACAUCCCUUCCCCUGGUCAGGUCAUACCGUUCAGCGUGUCAUUCCAACACUUGUUAAUUCCUCAUUUUUGUGUAAUUUUCAGGUUUAAAAUUUCUUGCUGAUAAUUUUUCGCCUUAAUUAUUUUCAACUUAUUUUAGCGAGUGCACAUCAUUUCACAAGUUCAGGUCACGUCAUUCAGCAUAUCACUCUAACACUCAUUCAUUUCUUUUUUUAUUUUGUAUUUUCUGGUUGAUAAUAUUUCAUCUUAGUUCUCUACUUAUGCUACCGCGUUUAAAUCAUUUCACUAGUUCAGGUCAUGUCAUUCCGCUUGUAACUUCAACACUCAUUCAUUUCUUUUUCAUGUACUUUCAGGUUUAAAAGUCUUCAUUGAUGAUAACUUUUCACUUUAAUUUUCAACUUACCAAAGCGAGUACACAUCCUUUCACUAGCUCUGGUCACAUCAUUCAGCAUAUCACUCCAACCCUCAUUCACUUCUCUAUAAUUUGUGUGUGUUUUCUAUGAUUAUAAUUUUUCACUUUAAUUUUCAACUUACCCGAGCGAGUACACAUCCUUUCACUUGUUCAGGUCACACCAUUCAGCAUAUCACUCCAACCCUCAUUCACUUCUCUAUAAUUUGUGUGUGUUUUUUAUGAUUAUAAUUUUUCACUUUAAUUUUCAACUUACCCGAGCGAGUACACAUCCUUUCACUCAUUCAGGUCACAUCAUUCAGCAUAUCACUCCAACCCUCAUUCACUUCUCUAUAAUUUGUGUGUAUUUUCAAUGACUAUAAUCAUUCCACUGGACAAGCCAUGAGUCCAUCAACAUGUAUUUCCACCUUGCUCAUGCCCUUAAUGCGACAGAGAUGAGCACUGAGACCAUGAACAGCAUUAGCAUACCUUAUCAUGCACUUCACUGUACAAGGUUGUGGGUCCUCAUAUCCUCUCCUACAGUAAACAUGGCAACUAUACAUCAUUCCACAAGGACAAGCCAUAAUUUUGUCCCAGCAUGCCAUUACCAUUCCACACCGCCUAGCAUGACUGUCUGUUGGCCCUUUCGGUGAGGAGUGAGAGAAGGUAGCGAGUCCAUACCAUAUGUUCUCUCUUGUCCUCAUAUGUCUAAGGACCGAUAGCAGAGGACACGUGACCAGUUGGAAUUUACAUAUAUUUAUUUAUAAAAGAAUGGGUGGCUUUCAAAUAUGAACAGAUAAACAAACAGACAGAACAAUAGACAGAUACAUACUCUCUCACACACACACACACACACACACACACACACACACACACACAUUCUUCCCACCCAGUUUUUCUCUCUCGAUGGCUUUGCUUGCUCGCCUAACCUAACCUAACCACCGAUAAUGAGGGAAGCCAAACACAAUGAUAGCCUAAAAUAAAACACUUCCCCUGCACCAACACCUCGGAUGCUUGGCAAAGAAUGGAGGAAGAAAAAGCGAGGAAAGUGGAGUAAGAAGUAUCUGGCAACACACGAAAGGAGAAAAAGUGAAAAGAAGUGGAAAAAAAAGAG